AUUGAACGCUGGCGGCAGGCCUAACACAUGCAAGUCGAAUGGUAACAGGAAACAGCUUGCUGUUUCGCUGACGAGUGGCGGACGGGUGAGUAAUGUCUGGGAAACUGCCUGAUGGAGGGGGAUAACUACUGGAAACGGUAGCUAAUACCGCAUAACGUCGAAAGACCAAAGAGGGGGACCUUCGGGCCUCUUGCCAUCAGAUGUGCCCAGAUGGGAUUAGCUAGUAGGUGGGGUAACGGCUCACCUAGGCGACGAUCCCUAGCUGGUCUGAGAGGAUGACCAGCCACACUGGAACUGAGACACGGUCCAGACUCCUACGGGAGGCAGCAGUGGGGAAUAUUGCACAAUGGGCGCAAGCCUGAUGCAGCCAUGCCGCGUGUAUGAAGAAGGCCUUCGGGUUGUAAAGUACUUUCAGCGGGGAGGAAGGGGGUAAAGUUAAUACCUUGGCUCAUUGACGUUACCCGCAGAAGAAGCACCGGCUAACUCCGUG
rnacentral:rRNA from 1 species